rnacentral:lncRNA from 1 species
GAUUUGCGGUGACGGGUUAUGUACGAGGCGGGACUUCCGGGGCAGCCGUAGUAGGUAGUGUCGGGAGGUGUAGUGGGAAGGAAAGGACACGUCAGCAUCUGGCCGCGGGGCGCGGGGGGCCAUGGGAGCCCCGGGGGCGGGGACAGCCUCUCCUUCCAGUCUAGUCCCGCCCAUUGCGCCCCGCCCCGCGGGCCAGCGGGGAGCCCACGUGUACUGCUGAGUUCCUGGAGGGCGCACCCGGAUUGGGGAGCGCGGUUUGGGGAAUCCGGAGCCAAGGAGGCGAGGACCUGAACAAUCUCCGUACAGGCUGCACACCUAAUUCCGACAUUUUACGUCAGCUAAAAGUGUGGGGAGGACUUGGAAAAGUCUGAGCAUCGUUAAAUCUGCGGAUGCUGGCGUUGACGGAACGCGGCCAGGCACCCUUCCUGUAGUUGGGAGUGUAUCUCUCGUGUUUGUGUCGCCGGUGUCUGGCACUUGUAAGGCUCUCGAUUAAUGUUGGGGGGGGGGGGUAGGGUAAAUCUCUCUUAGGGGGUGAUGUGCCCUGUGCACGGGAGAGAAUGGCCCUCGUUUUCGGGCUCUUCUCAGCUUCGCCAAUGAAGGUUAGGGAAAGCCAUGGUACAAGCUCUCCCUGGGCCUAGAGGAGGCAGUCCCUUGGUCGCUUGUGAAGAGCCAUGCCGGUUCCAACCACCUGAUCCCAUCCCUUAACCUGGCCCUAGUCUCUUCUGAAUAAAGAGAUUGGGGGAGAGGCGUGUGGAGCAAGGACAUACAAAUGUUUAAGUGAAUGUUUAAAGGCAACUAAUAAUCCGUCAAGUGCUCACUAUGUGGAGCCAAGGACCUUAUGCCGGUUAAUCUUAAUCUUCAAACCUGGCUCCACGUUGAGGAUACCACUUCACCUGUAGCUCUUUUGAGAAGAGGUUGUCUAUACUUCCACACUUCACAUAUCCCAGUGAAGUUUUGGGGCCACCAAUCUUCCUAGAUCCUUAGUGCUGCCUUUUCCAUACCAUUAACUUGCUACCCUCUCCAGAAAAACAACAACAACUUUGUGAAGGCUCAUUCCACCAGAUUUAUACCACUCUUAUCUCAUUAAAGUUCUUGUCUUCUCUGCCUUAACUGCCACCUUGUCAUUCGUUGAAAUCAACACCUGGCGCACACUUCUCCACCCGGUGAUCCUGAAUGAUUUCAACAUUUAUGAGCCUGACUUGUCCAAUACCCUGGCCUCUCAGCUCCUUUACCUCAUCUUCAAUGAACUUCACCUCUGUACACCCCAUUUAGCCACCCUGUUCAGUACAGAUAAAGUAUGGCAAUUGUUCCAUAGCUGAAAUUGUGAACUCCAGAUACCCCAUUCUCUGAUCAUAAUUGCUGUCCUUUCUACUUUCUCACUUAGUUACUUCUCUUACACCUUGUCUUAUCUAUUGCUGCAUAACAAUUUACCCCAAAACUUAGGUAUUAAACAAUGAUCAUUUAUAAUCUCUGCGUGGCUUAGCUGAAUACCUUUGCCUCGAGGUCUUUCACAGGGCGGUAAUCAAGGUGUCAUUGGGAGUUGGGUUCUCAUGCAGGUCUGUUAGCUGAUGGAGGCUCUACUUCCAAAUUCAUUCACAUAGUCACUGGCAGGAUUCAGUUCCUCAAGAGCAUUGGACUGAGGGCCUCAGUUCCUUGUUAGUGGGCCUCUCCAUAGAGCAGCUCACCUGGUAGCUGGUUUCUAUCAGAGCAGGCAAGUGAGAGAGCAAGAGAAGACAAGCAAGCCAGAGUCUUUUUGAACCUAAUCUCAGAAGUAACAUCCCAUCGCUUUUGCUGCUUUUGCCGUAUGCUGUUCCUUAGAAAAGUCAUUUGGUUCAGCCUACUCUCAAGGGGAGAGGAUUAUCCAGGGGCAUAAAUACUAGGAGGCAGGAUCACUGGGGAUCAUCUUAGAGGCUGCCGAUCACACACUGUUAUUUAAUUUUACAUAGAAUUCAAAGUCCCUGAACCUCUCUAUCUUUGUAAUCUGUUCCCUUUUGCUUUCUCCUGAAUCCUUGGUUAGACUCUUGUCAUUUUGCUCUCUCUUCUCAGUGUCCUCAUCUCUAAUUCCCAUUGUCUUCCAUCCGACCUACCUGUCAAAACUCCAAUUCUAGAUCCUUCUGCCUUCUCCAAACCUACCACUUAGCUACAGAAAACACACAAAUGCGCACAUUGGUGCCACAGUGAAUUCACGGGCCCUCCCACAUUGCCUGGAGUUCUUCUGUUUCCUCAGUCACUUUGGUCGCUAGGUCUGGUUGCUGCUGUUGUUUAGUUUAUUUUUUGAGAGCAGUUUUAGGUUUAAAGCAGUAGUAAGGGAAAGGUAGAGAUUUCCCAUAUGCUCCCAGACCAUACACAUGCAUAGCCUCCGCCAUUAUCAAUACCCCUCACCGGAGUGGUGCACUUUCUACAGUUGAUGAACCUAUGCUGACACAUAACAAUCACCCAGAGGACAUAAUUUACAUUAGGGUUCACUCUUGAUGUACAUUCUGUGGGUUUGGACAAAUGUAUAAUGACAUAUGGACUUUUAUGAUGUCAUGCAGAGUAGUGUCACUGCCCUAAAAAUCAGUGAGUCUGGAGGGAGAGGGAGGUUGCAAAUAUAUAUAUAUUAAAAAAUAAAAUAAGGGGCACCUGGGUGGCUCAGUCAGUUAAGCGUCCGACUCUCGAUUUUGGCUCAGGUCAUGAUCUCACAGUUCAUGAGAUUGAGCCCCACGUCGAGCUCUGUGCUGACAGUGCAGAGCCUGCUUGGGAUUCUCUCUGAAAGUAAAUAAAUGAACUUAAAAAUAAAAUAAAUAUCAGUGAGUCUGUUUUAAACCUUCUCUAUUUCCCUCUUAACUCCAACUCCACUGGCUCCCACCCUCUCAGAUAGUGAUAGCCCUUCUACUUGAGAGAGAAUAAAAGCCAUCAAGAACUGCCUCCAUUUCCCACACCAAAUCUGAAACCUUACCUUUUUUCUCAUCCCUCUCCUUCCUCAUUACAAAGAAAAACGUCCCCCUACUUCUUAGGCUAACCCCUCUAUCUAUGUUCUGGAUCCACCCCCCUCCACCUUGUCAAGAACUCUCUUAAUAGAUAAUUCUCUCUCCUGUUUUUACACCUUCUCAGUUUAUCUGGAUUCUUCUUAUUAGCAUUUAAAUAUUCUCCCAAUUUCUUGCAUAGUGAAAAUAAAUAAAUCUUCCCUUUCUCCACAUCCCUCUUUCGAUAGCUCUUCUCCUCCCUCCACAGACAAACCCCCUCUGUGAAAUUCUUUGUUGCUUUCUAUAUCCUCACCCUGCAUUAAAUUGUCAGCACACUGCACUCUAUUGCUCUUAUCAAUUUACUGAAACUGUUCUCUCCAAGGUCAAUACUGACCUCCUCCUCACACCUCACACCUCCUCCAUAACAUUUGACACUAUUUGCUCCUCAAAAUGCCUUUUUCCUUCCCACAUUCCUUGUAUUCCUCCCAUCUAUCUAGCUGCUCCUCCUCAUCACCAUUGUGAAUGAUUUCUUUUGCUUCUACUUGAUAUUGAUGUUCCUCUGGAUUCUUCUCAAAGCGUCUUCCUUUCUAAUUUGAAACAUUCUUGGGGCACCUGGGUGGCUUAGUUGAUUGAGCAUCCAACUUCAGCUCAGGCCGUGACCUCAUGGUUCGUGAGUUCAAGCCCUGCGUCAGGCUCUGGGCAGACAGCUCUGGGCAGAUUUAUGUCUCCCUCUCCAUCUGCCCCUCCCCCAUUCUCUCUCUCUCUCUCUCUCUCUCUCUCUCUCAAAAAUAAACAAUCAUUGAAACAUUCUUCCAAAGACAUCUUAGCCACUCCCCUGGCUGCAUGCUAAGGAUUCCUAAAUAUAGGUAUAUAGCUCCUGUCUAAAUCUCUUUCUUCAGCUGCAGAUCCUAUGUUCAAUAAUAAUAACCUAGCACCUUGGGAAUUCAAAUUCAACAUGUCUCACAAGAAACUCAUUAUCUUUCCUCUCAAACCUGCUCUUCCCUAGUACGUGUCACAGCCCCAAUAAUGACACCAGAAGUUACCCAGUUGCAAACCAGAAAUCUGGAGAUCAUCAGUGACACCUCCCCUUUCUCAUUCCUCACUUCCUAGUCAACCUCUGAAAUGUUGGAUCCACAGCGGCACAGUCAAGCACACAGGCCCCAGAAACCGACCACCUGGGUUCACAUCCCAACAUUGUAUAACCUUGAGUAAGUUAUAUGUAUCUCUGUUCGAUGGCUGUCUCCUCUGUCAAAUAAAGAUGAUAAUAGGACCUUCCUCCUAGGGUUGUUCUGGUCUUGAAGAUUAUAUGAAUUAGUAAAUGUUAAACACAUAGAACACUGUCUGGAUCAUCUCUGUGUUAAACUUUUAUGAUGAUUAUUUAAUAUAUCCUAUUGCUUAAACUUGGCUUAUUUUUACCUGAACUACUACCGCACCAGGCUUAUACUAGAGAUCCCCAAUGCCAGUCUUCCCUACCUAUACCCCAUCCAUUCUUGCUAUGGUAGUCAAAGUGGCAUUUCUAAAAUGCAGAUCUGCUCAUUUCUCUUCUCCCUGAUUCCCUCAUGUGAUUUAUUCACCCCAGAUCUCCUGUCACAGCUCUACCCUUCAAACAGCUAACAGACCAAGUGAACUUGGUUUUGGUCUUUCAAGGAAACACUUGUCUCCAGGCCUUUGCACAUACUUUUGUGUCUGCCUGGAUCGCUCUUUCCAUCCCUUUGUCCUCCUCUCCACCCUUCUCACUCCACGUGACUACCACCUCCAUAUCCUUCAACUUCCUACUUGGAAACCGUUCUCCCCUUUCUCCCCUGAAAGGCACUGAGAAGAUGACAGGUUUAGUUCUCUUGCCUCCUAUUUUUGGUUUAUCAAAGCACUUAUCAGAUUGGAACAUAAUUGUCUCUUUGCCCUCUAAAAUGUCAUCAGACUCAGUCUGAUUUAUUGACAGUGGAAUCCCCAGCCCAAUGUCUGGGAAUUCAACAUAGCUGGUCAGCCAAUAUUUGUUAAUAAAUGAAUGAGACCAAAGUAUUAUCAUGUUCAUUUUACCUAUAAGGAGCUAGAGCCUCAUGGAGGAUGUUUGUUGAAGGUCACAGAGCAAGUAAGUGGCAGAGAAGGGAUUUGACACCAGUUCUUGUGACUCUAAAGCUCAUGCUCACUUUGCCUUUACAGGAAGGAAAGAGACUUUGAUCUUCCUUGGAAGUAGAUUCUGGUCACUUCUGUGCCUGGGCAGCAUUAGACCAGAGGCAGUGGGUGAACGCAGUACCGAGCAGGUGUAGAGGUGAGAAAUCCUCACCUUCUCUCAAGAAAGUUGAUAGAGCAGCAUUUGCUGUUUUAGAAACAUGGUAGAGAUUGAAUCUCUGGUUUCCCCUAGUGUAAUAUAGUGAGGCUCCUGGUCCUAACGGUGCACCCCAACCCCUUGCUUGGAACUAAGCCUGGGGCACCUGAGCCACCUCUCUCAGUCAUGUAGCAGCUCCUUGAAAAAGGAUCAAAAGUCAGAUGCAAGCAGAUGGGGUAAAAGGCCAGAGUACAAACUUCCUUCCGUCUAAAAGCCCCUAUUUCCACCUCCCCGCAGAAACACCGGCUGUAAGAUGUCUCUAGGUGGCCCUGGCCCCAGACCGGGGUCAGGCAUUUUAUAUCAUGGCUGCUCUGAAUGUAUUUUAUUUUUUAAAGGAUCUAGUAUGUUUAUGAAUCUUGUGUAUACUGGCAAGAUUUUGAAAAGGUAUUUAAUUUUGUAAUGUUUACCAAUGAUUUAUUUACAAGCUAUUUACUCAAAUAAGUGGAGCCACUUGCGAAAAAGAGAGAAAGAGACUUUGAAAUCCUUAAAGGUAACUCCUGUGUGGUGCACGCGGCACACACACACACACACACACACACACACAGAGUCUAGAGACAGACAAGACUCAUUUAAACAAACAAACAAAACACCCUGCUUCCUGUAUUCCUUCGAGAGCAAAUUUAGGAAAUAUAUCCUGGUAGUAAUAUUAGCCAAAAUAUAUUAAGCACUAAACAUAAGCACCAGACUUUAUACUAGGGGAGGGGAAAUAAAUAAAUAAAUAAAUAACAGACUUUGUGCUAAAUGCUUUUAUCUAGGGCACCUAGUUGGCUCAGUCGGUUAAACAUCCAACUUCGGCUCAGGUCACGAUCUCUCAGUUCGUGGGUCCAAGCCCCGCAUCAGGCUCUGUGCUGACAGAUCAGAGCCUAGAGCCUGCUUUGGACUCUGUGUCUCUCUCUCUGCCCCCACCCCUUCCUCUGUCUCUCUCUGUCUCUCAAAAAUAAAUAAACAUUGAAAAUUUUUUAAAAAUAAAUAAAUGCUUUUAUCUGCCUCACAUGUUUUAAUCUGUAGACCAGCCCUUUGAAAUGGAUAUGAUCAAUCUCUUUCUACAAAGGACAUAAUGCUUAGAAAAGGUAAGCAGCCAACUUUAGGUCAAUAACAAAUAAGGGAUGGAUCAAAAUUUGAACCCAGAACUUUCUGACCAUAGUCUGCUGUUAACUAUGUAACCAACCGACUUCUAAGGUGACCAAGCAUGCCCUCCUCCUGCACUUGUAGGAUCUGGAGGCUGGGCAAAGAAGGAGUUUUCAACUCUCCAGUAACCUUCCUUGAGGGAAACAGGAGAAAUCUCAGCACUAGAGUAACCCUGCCUCCAUUCUUCCUGAUGCACCUCCAACUUCAACCCAUCAUCCACACUGUUACCUGGUAUUCUUUCAAAACGCAAAUCCCAGUGGCGCUUGGGUGGCUCAGUAUCUGGGUUAAGUGUCCGACUUCAGGUCAGGUCAUGAUCUCGCAGUUCAUGAGUUCAAGCCUCAAGUUUGAGCCCCGUGUUGGGUUCUGUGCUGACAGCUCAGACUCUGGAGCCUGCUUCAGAUUCUUUGUCUCCCUCCCUCUCUGCCCCUCCCCUGCUCAUGCUCUCUCUCAAAAAUAAACAUUAAAAAUGAAAAAUAAAUGAAAUAAAAUGCAAAUCCCAAUGACACAGAAACCCUCCUCAACACUGCAGUGGCUCCCUUUCUGUUUCAGGGUACUUUCAACCCCACAGCAUAGCACAUGAGGCCCUUACAAUCUGGCCCUGAUCUGCUUUUCUUCCUUCUCUUCCUUUUCUCCGCCUCUUUGUUUUGUAUGUUUAUCGUGGAAGGAAUUGUGUCUCCCCCAGAUUCAUACGUUGAAGCCUAAACCCCUGGUGUGACUGAAUUUGGAGAUAGGGACUUUAUGGAAGGAAUUAAUGUUAAAUGAAGUCGAAAGAAUAAGGCCCUCAUCUCAUAGGAUUCAUGUCCUUUUAAGAAGAAAAAGAGACUAGAGGCCCCGGGGGUAGCCCAGUGGGUUAAGUGUCUGACUUUAGCUCAGGUCAUGAUCUCAUGGUUUGUGAGUUCAAGCCCUGCGUCAGGCUUUGUGCUUGGAGCCCGGAGACUGCUUCAGAUUCUGUGUCUCCCCGUCUCUCUCUGCCUCUCCCCCACUCAUAUGCACGUGCUCUCUCUCUCUCUCUCUCUCUCUCUCAAAAAUAAAUAAACGUUAAAAAAAAAAAAAGAGGAAGAAGAGGAAGAGACCAGAUCUCUUUCUUUCUCCCUGCAGGCGCACAGAGGAAAGACCAUGCGAGGGCACAGUGAGAAGAUGGCCGUCUGCAAGCCAGAAGGAGACUUCUCACCAGACAACUCUGACACCUUAAUCUUGGACUUCUAGCCUCCAGAGUUAUGAGAACACGUUUCUGGUUUUUAAGCCGCCCAUUUUGUAGUAUGUUGUUAUGGCAGUCCAAACUGACCAGUACAAAGUUUCACUGUAUGUUUACUUAAAAGAAAAGCCUCCAAACCCAAGUUGUCCAGAUCAGCCCUGAUCAGAAGAACUUUCUGUGAUGAUGGAAAUAUUCUGUAUAUGCUCUGCCCAACACAGUAGUCACCAGCUACACGUGGCUAAUGAGGACUUGAAAUUCAGCCAGUGCAGGGGCACCUGGGUGGCUCAGUCGGUUCAGCGUCUGACUUCAGCUCAGGUCAUGAUCUCACAGUUUGAGCUCAAGCCCCACAUCGGGCUGUGUGCUGACAACUCAGAGCCUAGAGCCUGCUUCACAUUCUGUGCCUCCCUCUCUCUGCCCCUCCCCCCGCUCACACUCUGUCUCUGUCUCUCUCUCAAAAAUAAAUAUUAAAAAAAAAGAAAGAAAGAAAUUCAGUUAAUGCAACUGAGCUGAGUUUUUAUUGUUAUUUAAGUUUAAUUAAUUUAAGUUUAAAUAACUCCAUGAGGCUAGUGACUAAUGUAUUAUUACACUGCACUAGUGUAGGUGAUUGACCUUGAAUCUUGAUUACACUUGAAUAUCUGAUGCCAUAAUUUUCCAUAUAAGUUUUUAAAUUAAGUGAUUUCUAUAUUCCUUGUGUAGUCCAAACAUGAUUAAAAUGCUUAAGGCACCCUUAAAAAAAAAACUUAAGAAACAACAAAAUAAGUUUAUAACAUUAAAAGUAGAACUUAAAUCCUGUUUGAAAAAAGGAAGAAAGAAAGAAAGAAAGAAAGAGAAAUUAUCCUGUGCUUGAGACUUAGACAUUAUUUCCCAAACUUUACAAACCUUAGGACAAAAUUCCUAUCAACUUAAGAAAGAUCAUGUGUGCUUCCCAAUUUGCCCUGUCUAUAUAGUAAGUCAAUGUAAAGGAUUUCAAAAGAUGUAAUACACAUUUAUGCAACCAUAUUAAUUCUUUGGACAAAAGUUACAAAAUUUCAGUUAGUGCAUGAACUUUGUACCCUGUUUUGUUGUCAUGUAACGGCAAGACCAACCUUAAUUCCAUUGUCCCAAAUGCCAUUAAUCAACGCCUCUGGGUUCUCAGCAGCCUUAGAUAAUUGUAUAUUGAUUUUUCUCCUGCUACAGCCAUCAUUUUAACCACUGUUGAGUUUUGUCACCUUGGACCUCCCUGCCCUACUCAAACCUCUAAGAAAAAAAGCAUAAGGAGAGCCCCAGAGGUGCCAUCUUUAUCACAGAGCAGCUUGCUGCUCUGAAUCUGUCUCCUCUCUGCAACCUGAGAUGGUCAAGCAGGGAUGGAACCUAAGGAUUCCUCUUCUCUGUCCUCAAGUCCUGGAGUCUCUGGCUAGCAAACUCAAGAGUUAGGAACAUUCGAGCAAGUAAUAGCAAACUAGAGGAACCAUAGAUUAAGCAUAUACUUUUUUCUUUCACAGAUGAAGAGGUUGGAGGUAUUUGUUUAGAGGCUCAAGCAUCUCA